rnacentral:rRNA from 1 species
UCGCUCCUACCGAUUGAGUGAUCCGGUGAACUUUCUGGACUAUUGGCCCGCGCUUUAUAGGAAGUUAAGCAAACCUUAUCACUUAGAGGAAGGAG